rnacentral:rRNA from 1 species
UUAGAGUUUGAUCCUGGCUCAGGAUGAACGCUUUCUACAGGCUUAACACAUGCAAGUCGAACGGGGAACGGAUUCGUCCGUUCCCAGUGGCAAACGGGUGAGUAACACGUAUCCAACCCCCCCGCGACACGGGGAUAGCCUUCUGAAAGGGAGAUUAAUACCCGGUACACUGUUUAUAGCGCAUGCUAUUUUCAAUAAAGUUCCGGCGGUCGCGGACGGGGAUGCCCUCCAUUAGAUAGUCGGCGGGGUAACGGCCCACCGAGUCUAUGAUGGAUAGGGGUUCUGAGAGGAAGGUCCCCCACAUUGGAACUGCGACACGGUCCAAACUCCUACGGGAGGCAGCAGUGAGGAAUAUUGGUCAAUGGGCGAAGGCCUGAACCAGCCAAGUAGCGUGAAGGAUGACAGCCCUAUGGGUUGUAAACUUCUUUUGGUCGGGAAUAACAGACACCACUUGUGGUGUUUUGCAUGUACCGGCCGAAUAAGGAUCGGCUAACUCCGUGCCAGCAGCCGCGGUAAUACGGAGGAUCCGAGCGUUAUCCGGAUUUAUUGGGUUUAAAGGGUGAGUAGGCGGUAGUAUAAGUCAGCGGUGAAAACUUGCAGCUCAACUGUAAGCUUGCCGUUGAAACUGUAUUACUUGAGUUAAGUUGAGGUAUGCGGAAUGUGGUGUGUAGCGGUGAAAUGCAUAGAUAUACCACAGAACGUCGAUUGCGAAGGCAGCAUACUAAGUUUAUACUGACGCUGAUGCACGAAAGCGUGGGGAUCAAACAGGAUUAGAUACCCUGGUAGUCCACGCCGUAAACUAUGAUUACUCGCUGUUUGCGAUAUACCGUAAGCGGCCAAGCGAAAGCAUUAAGUAAUCCACCUGGGGAGUACGUUCGCAAGAAUGAAACUCAAAGGAAUUGACGGGGGCCCGCACAAGCGGAGGAACAUGUGGUUUAAUUCGAUGAUACGCGGGGAACCUUACCCGGGCUUGAAAUGCAUCUGACAGACUCUGAAAGGGGUUUUCUAGCAAUAGCAGAUGUGUAGGUGCUGCAUGGUUGUCGUCAGCUCGUGCCGUGAGGUGUCGGCUUAAGUGCCAUAACGAGCGCAACCCUCAUCAUUAGUUGCUAACAGGUAAAGCUGAGGACUCUAAUGAGACUGCCACCGUAAGGUGUGAGGAAGGUGGGGAUGACGUCAAAUCAGCACGGCCCUUAUGUCCGGGGCGACACACGUGUUACAAUGGGGGGUACAACGGGCAGCUACCACGCGAGUGGAUGCUAAUCUCUAAAAUCCUCUCUCAGUUCGGAUCGGAGUCUGCAACUCGACUCUGUGAAGCUGGAUUCGCUAGUAAUCGCGCAUCAGCCAUGGCGCGGUGAAUACGUUCCCGGGCCUUGUACACACCGCCCGUCA